CACUGUCAUUCCGGAAUGGACUGGUACCGCAAACAGCUCAUUGGUUCUGCUCUUAUUUAUUGCCAUCUAGUCCUGUUUGCAGAAUUAACUGUGGCUCCAGCCAUUAAGCAGACCUGAACCAGUUGAUGAAGGUCUUCAGGAUCACCAGAAACUACAGGCAGGUGUGUGAGAAAGUUGGAGCUACAUACUGCAGGACGUUGGUCCUCCAUGACCAGGACUGGACACCACUGUUGUCUAAGCCAGCCACAGUGGAUACAGUGAAGCCACAAACACAGUUCAUAGUUCUUGUAUUUCUAUUACACAUUAAAUAAUAAAAAAUAUCAUGUUAA